rnacentral:tRNA from 1 species
GGGUUGUAGCUCAGCUGGUUAGAGCGCCGGCCUGUCACGCCGGAGGUCGCGGGUUCGAGCCCCGUCAAUCC